AGAUGUGGCUCGUGUACAGGCUCUCGUACUCCCUGUCAAAGAGAGGAGGGCACAGAGUUACACCAGCCCCUCUGACACAGGCUCAGUUAUGGUUGCAAGUAACUGACUUCGUUCACCUACUUUGUACAGCUUAGUGGACGGAUGUUUUCUUGGCAACAUUUCUGUUCCAACAACUAAAUAACCAACAACUAACUAACCAAACAACCAGCAUGCUUAGCCUGUGCUAGGAGAUGUGGGGACAGCAGAAAAGAUGCCCAGGCCCUGGCCCUCCAGGUCAGUGCUGGAAAGAGAAGUAACCACCUGAAGCUAAAGUACCUGGGGUCAAAGAGAGGUCUUGGAAAGACGUAGAAGGAAAUACUGAAGAUGCUGCUUCUGGUGGGAAAUUAUAACAAUAAAGGCCAGGAGGAGGAAAUGAAGAGCUCUAUUUGUAUUUACCUCCGAAAAUCAACUUACCGAAGAUUCACUAUCACGAAUGAGGAAAUCCCCUUCAUGUCCUCUUUCAUUUAAUGCCAUUUCUGCUUGAUGCCUGGUGACUUUGCCAUAAUACCAAGGAUUGCCAGCAAACUUUCCAGUGAGUGAAGGCCUAAUGUAAUCACACUGUGGAGGUGAUGGUUCCAAACCUGAAGUUAAUGGAUUAUUCUGCAUAACGGUAACAUAGUUUUUUGGUACUAGACCAACCAUACCAUUGAUCUUCCUGCAUUUCCACCACUCUGGGUCAUUUUCAGGUUUUUCAAUAACAUCCAUUACAUCUCCUUUCUCGAAA
rnacentral:lncRNA from 1 species